UAGAGCUAAAACGAGACAACAUGUGCUAAU
rnacentral:piRNA from 1 species